AGAGCGAACGCUGGCGGCAGGCCUAACACAUGCAAGUCGAGCGCCCGUAGCAAUACGGGAGCGGCAGACGGGAUAGUAACACGUGGGAACGCGCCCUUCGGUUCGGAAUAACUCAGGGAAACUUGAGCUAAUACCGGAUACGCCCUUACGGGGAAAGAUUUAUUGCCGAAGGAACGGCCCGCGUCCGAUUAGCUAGUUGGUGAGGUAAUGGCUCACCAAGGCGACGAUCGGUAGCUGGUCUGAGAGGAUGACCAGCAUCACUGGGACUGAGACACGGCCCAGACUCCUACGGGAGGCAGCAGUGGGGAAUAUUGGACAAUGGGCGCAAGCCUGAUCCAGCCAUGCCGCGUGGAUGAUGAAGGCCUUAGGGUGUAAAGUCCUUUUAACGGGGAAGAUAAUGACGGUACCCGUAGAAUAAGCCCGGCUAACUCGCGCCAGCAGCCGC
rnacentral:rRNA from 1 species